UACGUAGGGGCAAGCGUUAUCCGGAUUUACUGGGUGUAAAGGGAGCGCAGACGGAACUACAAGUCUGAUGUGAAAGCCCGGGGCUCAACCGCGGGACUGCAUCGGAUACUGUGGAUCUGGAGUGCCGGAGGGGCAAGCGGAAUUCCUGGUGUAGCGGUGAAAUGCGUAGAUAUCAGGAGGAACACCGGCGGCGAAGGCGGCUUGCUGGACGGCAACUGACGUUGAGGCUCGAAAGCGUGGGGAGCAAACAGGAUUAGAUACCCUGGUA
rnacentral:rRNA from 1 species